CCUACGUGAGGCAGCAGUGGGGAAUAUUGCACAAUGGGGGAAACCCUGAUGCAGCGACGCCGCGUGAGUGAGGAAGUAUUUCGGUAUGUAAAGCUCUAUCAGCAGGGAAGCAAAUGACGGUACCUGACUAAUAAGCCCCGGCUAACUACGUGACAGCAGCCGCGGCAACACGUAGGGGGCAAGCGUUAUACGGAUUUACUGGGUGUAAAGGGAGCGUAGACGGCUAAUCAAGUCAGAAGUGAAACCCCAGGGCUCAACCUUGGGAGUGCUUUUGAAACUGAGUAGCUAGAGUGCAGGAGAGGUAAGCGGAAUUCGUGGUGUAGCGGUGAAAGGCAUAGAUAUUAGGCGGAACCCCGGUGGCGAAGGCGGCUUACUGGACUGUAACUGACGUUGAGGCUCGAAAGCGUGGGGAGCAAACAGGAUUAGAUACCCUUGUAGUC
rnacentral:rRNA from 1 species